UACGUAGGAGGCGAGCGUUGUCCGGAAUUACUGGGCGUAAAGAGCGCGUAGGCGGCGCUGUACGACCUGUGUGAAAGCCCCCGGCUCAACUGGGGAGGGUCAUGGGUUACGGCAGUGCUUUAGAGUGCAGGAGAGGGACGUGGAACUCCGGGAGUAGCGGUGAAAUGCGUAGAGACCCGGAGGAACACCAGUGGCGAAGGCGGCGUCCUGGCCUGCGACUGACGCUGUGGCGCGAAAGCUAGGGGAGCAAACGGG
rnacentral:rRNA from 1 species